rnacentral:misc_RNA from 1 species
AAGUCGUAACAAGGUUUCCGUAGGUGAACCUGCGGAAGGAUCAUUAACACGUAUCCAACGUUAAACCCCCCGUGCAUAUUAAUCCUGCUCUCUCUGCCUUGAUAAGCAAUCUCUGGUAAAUCACGCCACGAACAGUUUGAUUCAGAGACUUCUUUGAAGAAGCCGGGAUAGAGCGGUAGAGCAAAUAGACUUGGCUUCUGAAAAUCACGCGAGAAUGGGUGAAAGUGCCAUUGUAGUGUGGUGGAAGGAUAACUGAUACUUACUCAGAUCGUUGACCCUCACGGUCAACGGGCAGGUCUC